rnacentral:rRNA from 1 species
GACAGAGGGUGCAAACGUUGCUCGGAAUUACUGGGCGUAAAGCGCGUGUAGGCGGACCGGAAAGUCGGGCGUGAAAUCCCUGGGCUCAACCCAGGAACUGCACUCGAAACUUCCGGCCUUGAGUGGUGGAGAGGGUAGUGGAAUUCCUGGUGUAGAGGUGAAAUUCGUAGAUAUCAGGAGGAACACCGGUGGCGAAGGCGGCAUCCUGGACCAACACUGACGCUGAGGAGCGAAAGCCAGGGGAGCAAACGGG